GAAGUGGGGAUGACGUCAAGUCCUCAUGGCCCUUAUGGUAGGGCUUCACACGUCAUCAAUGGUCGGUACAGAGGGUUGCCAACCCGCAGGGGGAGCUAAUCCCACAAAGCCGAUCGUAGUCCGGAUCGCAGUCUGCAACUCGACUGCGUGAAGUCGGAAUCGCUAGUAAUCGUGGAUCAGCAUGUCACGGUGAAUACGUUCCCGGGUCUU
rnacentral:rRNA from 1 species